AGUGAACGCUGGCGGUAGGCCUAACACAUGCCAGUCGAACGGCAGCACAGUAAGAGCUUGCGCUUACGGGUGGCGAGUGGCGGACGGGUGAGGAAUACAUCGGAAUCUACUUUUUCGUGGGGGCUAACGUAGGGAAACUUACGCUAAUACCGCAUACGACCUACGGGUGAAAGCAGGGGAUCUUCGGACCUUGCGCGAUUGAAUGAGCCGAUGUCGGAUUAGCUAGUUGGCGGGGUAAAGGCCCACCAAGGCGACGAUCCGUAGCUGGUCUGAGAGGAUGAUCAGCCACACUGGAACUGAGACACGGUCCAGACUCCUACGGGAGGCAGCAGUGGGGAAUAUUGGACAAUGGGCGCAAGCCUGAUCCAGCCAUGCCGCGUGGGUGAAGAAGGCCUUCGGGUUGUAAAGCCCUUUUGUUGGGAAAGAAAAGCAGCAGGUUAAUACCCCGCUGUUCUGACGUUACCCAAAGAAUAAGCACCGGCUAACUUCGUG
rnacentral:rRNA from 1 species